UGGCCGUAAACGAUGAACACUAGGUGUCGGGGGAAUCGACCCCCUCGGUGUCGUAGCUAACGCGUUAAGUGUUCCGCCUGGGGAGUACGCACGCAAGUGUGAAACUCAAAGGAAUUGACGGGGGCCCGCACAAGCGGUGGAGUAUGUGGUUUAAUUCGAUGCAACGCGAAGAACCUUACCAGGGUUUGACAUCCUGCGAACCUCUUAGAAAUUUGAGGGUGCCUUCGGGAAUGCAGUGACAGGUGGUGCAUGGCUGUCGUCAGCUCGUGUCGUGAGAUGUUGGGUUAAGUCCCGCAACGAGCGCAACCCACGUUUUUAGUUGCCAGCAUUUAGUUGGGCACUCUAGAAAGACCGCCGGUGAUAAACCGGAGGAAGGUGUGGAUGACGUCAAGUCAUCAUGCCCCUUACACCCUGGGCUACACACGUACUACAAUGCUACGGACAAAGGGCAGCAAACUCGCGAGAGCUAGCAAAUCCCAUAAACCGUGGCUCAGUUCAGAUCGUAGGCUGCAACUCGCCUACGUGAAGUAGGAAUCGCUAGUAAUCGCAGGUCAGCAUACUGCGGUGAAUACGUUCCCGGGCCUUGUACACACCGCCCGUCACACCAUGGAAGUUGGCCAUGCCCGAAGUCGUUACUCCAACCCUUGUGGAGGAGGACGCCGAAGGUGGGGCUAAUGACUGGGGUGAAGUCAUAACAAGGUAGCCGUA
rnacentral:rRNA from 1 species